UACAGAGGUCUCAAGCGUUGUUCGGAUUCAUUGGGCGUAAAGGGUGCGUAGGUGGCGCCGUAAGUGGGGUGUGAAAUCUCGGGGCUUAACUCCGAAACUGCAUUCCAUACUGCGGUGCUUGAGGACUGGAGAGGAGACUGGAAUUCAUGGUGUAGCAGCGAAAUGCGUAGAGAUCAUGAGGAAGACCAGUGGCGAAGGCGGGUCUCUGGACAGUUCCUGACACUGAGGCACGAAGGCCAGGGGAGCAAACGGG
rnacentral:rRNA from 1 species